rnacentral:rRNA from 1 species
CUAUACUUUAUCUCCUCUCUCUCUCCUUAUCCCUUCACACGCACGCCUAGCCAUCGAAGCCGCCGCAUGCCACUCCGCAAAUCACCGCCGCAAGCCUGAGGGCCUCAUGCCGCCGCCGCUUGCCCCUUUCUCUGUAGAUCACCGACGCAACCCUGGGCCCCGGGGUCAUUCCCUCCUCCCCACGAUGCUGGAGGAGGCCCGAGGAGGCGGCCAUGAGGAGCGCGCAACCGCCAAAGCCAUGGGCAGAUCCAGCCAGCAUCGUCGGCAGCCAUCCCUCCCUCCGGCGGCCAUGAAGAAUUGAAUAGGCUUGAGCAGAACAAGCGCAUGGACGGUGCGCACCUCCCGCGAUAGGAGGUCCUCGUCAUCUGCUCGCAUCCACGAGGAAUCGGUCCAUAUAAUGUUUGCGGGGAGCUCGGUUAGUGUCGAUGCCCCAAGGGCUUAUGCAUAGCAAUUCCAUGCUGCUUAAAGCCACAGUAAUCAUGGCUACCGGUUUCCAGGUAUAUGUUUAUGCAGUCAUAUCGACGUGCUCGUUGACAAUUCGUAUAGAAUGUUUAUAUUCUUUAUAACUUUGCCAAGGAAUGUCUACUGUUAGACAUCUUGCGGGUACUUUGGUUAAGUACUAGAAAGCUCAUACACAGACACAUGCCCAACACAACAACAAGCA